AUUGAACGCUGGCGGCAGGCCUAACACAUGCAAGUCGAGCGGAUGAAGGGAGCUUGCUCCUGGAUUCAGCGGCGGACGGGUGAGUAAUGCCUAGGAAUCUGCCUGGUAGUGGGGGAUAACGUCCUGAAACGGGCGCUGCUACCGCAUACGUCCUGAGGGAGAAAGUGGGGGAUCUUCGGACCUCACGCUAUCAGAUGAGCCUAGGUCGGAGUAGCUAGUUGGUGGGGUAAAGGCCUACCAAGGCGACGAUCCGUAACUGGUCUGAGAGGAUGAUCAGUCACACGGGAAGGGAGACACGGUCCAGAGUCCUACGGGAGGCAGCAGUGGGGAAUAUUGGACAAUGGGCGAAAGCCUGAUCCAGCCAUGCCGCGUGUGUGAAGAAGGUCUUCGGAUUGUAAAGCACUGUAAGUUGGGAGGAAGGGCAGUAAGUUAAUACCUUGCUGUUGUGACGUUACCAACAGAAUAAGCACCGGCUAACUUCGUG
rnacentral:rRNA from 1 species